CCUACGGGAGGCAGCAGUGAGGAAUAUUGGUCAAUGGGCGAGAGCCUGAACCAGCCAAGUCGCGUGAAGGAUGAAGGAUCUAUGGUUUGUAAACUUCUUUUAUAUGGGAAUAAAGUGAGGAACGUGUUCCUUUUUGUAUGUACCAUAUGAAUAAGCAUCGGCUAACUCCGUGCCAGCAGCCGCGGUAAUACGGAGGAUGCGAGCGUUAUCCGGAUUUAUUGGGUUUAAAGGGUGCGUAGGUGGUUAAUUAAGUUAGCGGUGAAAGUUUGUGGCUCAACCAUAAAAUUGCCGUUGAAACUGGUAGACUUGAGUAUAUUUGAGGUAGGCGGAAUGCGUGGUGUAGCGGUGAAAUGCAUAGAUAUCACGCAGAACUCCGAUUGCGAAGGCAGCUUACUAAACUAUAACUGACACUGAAGCACGAAAGCGUGGGGAUCAAACAGGAUUAGAUACCCUGGUAGUC
rnacentral:rRNA from 1 species